AGACAUGAAACGAUGUGAGCUACGAGUGAGUGACAUGAUCUGACUUGAGGAGGACUGCUCUGGUUGCUGUAUGGGGACAGACUGCAAAGUGACAAGGGUGGAAGCUGGGAGACCAGAUAGGAGCCCUGAUAUCAGUUCAAAGGAGAGAUGGCCAUGACUUGGAUAAGGAGGCAGCGUGUGAGCCGGUGAAAAUUGAUUGGAUUCUAUAUCUGUUCUGAAGAUAGUAAACAAGAUUUAUUGGUGGAUUGGUUGUGAGAGAUGCACAGGCAACAACAAAGAUGGGACUGUGUUGACCUGUUCACUCCAUACUUUCAGAUCUCAAGUGAGGUGUUCGACUCUGCUGCUGGCAGGGGUACAGGGGUGGCCCUCACACCCUGACUUCGGGGAACCUAUGUGUUAAAUGGGGAGAUGCCAUGAGACCCAACCGCUACCCAGAGAGGUACAAGCCCUGAGGAUUGUGCUUAGAACUUCUAAACUAGGCAGCAGUGUGAACGAACUUCUGAGGCCAAAAGGCAGAAUGUCUGCGAAUAAAACUGUCCCUGAAAAUCCAGACCCUGCAGCUACUGGUUACAGUUGGUCAU
rnacentral:lncRNA from 10 species